AGCUGUCCUUAGUACGAGAGGACCGGGAUGGACCAACCUCUGGUGCACCAGUUGUCACGCCAGUGGCACAGCUGGGUAGCUAUGUUGGGACUGGAUAAACGCUGAAAGCAUCUAAGCGUGAAGCCAACCUCAAGAUGAGAUUUCCCAUAGCGUAAGCUAGUAAGACUCCUGGAAGAACACCAGGUUGAUAGGUCAGAGAUGUAAGCAUGGCAACAUGUUAAGUUGACUGAUACUAAUAAGUCGAGGGCUUGACCAAAA
rnacentral:rRNA from 1 species